AUUGAACGCUGGCGGCAUGCUUUACACAUGCAAGUCGAACGGUAACAGGGUGCUUGCACCGCUGACGAGUGGCGAACGGGUGAGUAAUGCGUCGGAACGUGCCGAGUAGUGGGGGAUAACGCAGCGAAAGUUGCGCUAAUACCGCAUACGUACUGAGGUAGAAAGUGGGGGACCUUCGGGCCUCACGCUAUUCGAGCGGCCGACGUCUGAUUAGCUAGUAGGUGAGGUAAAGGCUCACCUAGGCGACGAUCAGUAGCGGGUCUGAGAGGAUGAUCCGCCACACUGGGACUGAGACACGGCCCGGACUCCUACGGGAGGCAGCAGUGGGGAAUUUUGGACAAUGGGCGAAAGACUGAUCCAGCCAUGCCGCGUGUCUGAAGAAGGCCUUCGGGUUGUAAAGGACUUUUGUCAGGGAGGAAAUCCCUAGUGCUAAUAACACUGGGGGAUGACAGUACCUGAAGAAUAAGCACCGGCUAACUACGUGCCAGCAGCCGCAGUAA
rnacentral:rRNA from 1 species